UUUAUGGUACUGCAUCGCUUAUGUUUGUAUCGUGUUUUGUAUUUGUUAUGUGUUACGUGGAUUGUAAUUUGGUGCUGUGGUGGAACUAUGCUGCAAAGAAAAAUUUGUAAACAAGUGAAGCUGGAUGCCGUCGGUGUGAAACCUGUCUAUGCGUCUAGAGAACGUGAGAAAGAAGUUAGCAUUUAGUUCUGAAAGAAAUGUCAACGCGUUCUGAUUCCAGUAGUGAGAGUCAACCGUCAACAAACAUUGCAGUUCGCUGUAAGCUCCCUACGUCAACAAUCUCGUCUACUCGAAACCAUCACUGAAGAAAUUAGCACAAAGAUAUGGGAGGAAGCGGUCGUGGCCAAAUUUAAGGUGCAAUCCCAGUGGUUGACCGGAUGGAGUCAGGAAAACCAAGGAAAAUCUCAGCUAAGCUAGAGGGUCUUCUGGCCGAGGUUUAAACUCCUGAAGAUUGGAUGCACGUUUGCCGGCCUUUGGGACCUGCUGACUGCGAAGCACGAGAGCGAUCCAAUACACGGAGAUACUCUAUCAAUGCGAAGAACCGUGUAGGACCAAGACUUCUAGCCCAGUUUCUGUCGAAUCACUUGUCGUGAUCAUUACUUCAUAAAUGAACAUUUUAUUAUCAAACUAGCCUGCGUGUAAAUUUGGCUUGCACUCUCUACUGCACCGUAAGGCGCAAAAUCCCAGAAGACAGCCAGUCAUCUUCAUACUCGUCGCCGUUAAAACCUGAAAUAUUAUCUGUUAUAAAUUUAGUUUGUAUACAGACUCAAUGUGAAUUUUUAGUUUAUUUAAUAACUUUGUCAGUAUCUCGGACUGUAUAGCUAAGAGUGCUAGACGAUUAAUGAAUAAUGAAUGGGAAAGGACAUGGAAAGAAGCUGUCAUGGCCUAUUUUUUGCUAUCCCUGCAUUUGCCUGGAGGAACUAAGAAAUAUCACGGAGAGCCGGUUUCCGGACCGAGAUUUGAACCAGGGAGAUCCCGAAUAUGUAGCAGGAGUAGUAACACUCGGCUGCAACGGAAAGAUAAUUUUUUAGGGACACGUUUCAGAUUCUCGGGGAUUUGAUAUGUGUCGUUCUCUGUUUUAAAUACUGCACUUCCGUGUUUGAAACGUGGCAGCUACAAGCCUGUCGUCCGGUACUUACAUAUUUCAUUUAACACAUCCUUAUUGAGUUUAUGAUUAUCUGAAGGACGUCUGAUUACGGAAGGCAAAGAGGCAGUCACGUGGCGAUAAUCAAGUGGACAAUCGAUUCAAUCUGAGAAGAGGCUGAAAGUAAUCUAUUUCGUGGUAUCCACAGCGUUACACAAUAUGUCGUAAAGUAUAUAUUUAUGAAACAGGGGUCAUCAAUUUUGUUAAAAAAGAAAAUUAUUUUGUUCAUUAAUGCAUUAAUCAGAUAACCAGAUGACAUUCAUCCGUUAAAAUAAAUGUACAACGUUCAUUAAUAAAAAGAGUUUUGAAACGCGGCAUCAUUCCGUUCUGGGAGAUAAGUUCAUGACGAAAGGCUUCUGGGACUUUACUCUCGCCUUAAUAAUGACGCAAAAGACCGCUGUCUAUGCAAAUUCACACCGUAGAAGAUGCACCAAGGGGAUUAUAUGUGGGUAACUGAGAUAGUAGAAAGAACACAGUUUUUGAUGGGAUUGCACCUGGAAUAGUGGAAAGGGGGUAGAAAUAUAAAAUUAAAAUCAGUCAAAUAAUGGAUUUUUAUGUUUAACGUGUAACAGGAAAACAUAUAUUUCCUCUGGAAUAAACAAUAAAAGUCUAGAUUCGUAUUA